CAAAUUCGUGUCUUGGGGAAUA
rnacentral:miRNA from 2 species